AUAAAAUGGGCAUGAUUCCUGCUUCUUUGAAGCUUUCUAUCUAUAUUCACUCUAGCUAAACACAAGAAAAAAAAGAAAGAAUCAUGAAAUUAUUUCCGCCAGUGUCCUACUUACUCAUCAAGGAAGAGAGAAAAUUGUGAUGAAAGAUUUUGGAACUCAAAAAAGUCUCUUGAGAAAUGACUUGCAGUUCGGGCUAAUUCAUAAUCCAGCUCAGGACACUCUUGAGAUCAAAAGGAGGAAUUAUUCCAAGACAGGGAAACAACCUAAAUGUUCACUGAUGAAUGGCAGAUAUAUCCUGGAUCACCUCCCAUAUUCAGAAAGUUAUAGCAGGGUGGUAUUUUAUUUCACUAAGAAGUCAAAAGUUAAAGACUUGAUAAAAAAUAAAUCUCCUGCUUGUGGUGACUGAAAUAGAAAAAGGCACACAAAGAUGAUCAAAACCAAUGAGAGGACCACAACUUCACCAAAGAGCCCAUCCUGUUGUUCUAGAGUUUGUUGGAGACACAACCCAACUGCCUCACUUUUGGAUGAAUGUUAGAACUAUGACCCAGGAAGACAGGUCCAGUCCAUCCGUG
ensembl:lncRNA